CCUACGGGAGGCAGCAGUGGGGAAUCUUGCGCAAUGGGCGAAAGCCUGACGCAGCCAUGCCGCGUGAAUGAUGAAGGUCUUAGGAUUGUAAAAUUCUUUCAGUAGGGACGAUAAUGACGGUACCUACAGAAGAAGCCCCGGCUAACUUCGUGCCAGCAGCCGCGGUAAUACGAAGGGGGCUAGCGUUGCUCGGAAUUACUGGGCGUAAAGGGAGCGUAGGCGGACAUUUAAGUCAGGGGUGAAAUCCCAGAGCUCAACUCUGGAACUGCCUUUGAUACUGGGUGUCUUGAGUGUGAGAGAGGUAUGUGGAACUCCGAGUGUAGAGGUGAAAUUCGUAGAUAUUCGGAAGAACACCAGUGGCGAAGGCGACAUACUGGCUCAUUACUGACGCUGAGGCUCGAAAGCGUGGGGAGCAAACAGGAUUAGAUACCCUGGUAGUCCACGCCGUAAACGAUGAUUGCUAGUUGUCGGGAUGUUUACAUCUCGGUGACGCAGCUAACGCAUUAAGCAAUCCGCCUGGGGAGUACGGUCGCAAGAUUAAAACUCAAAGGAAUUGACGG
rnacentral:rRNA from 1 species